UUCCCAGCUUCCUGCUGCUGUUAUUGGGGUGGCUCAAGGCCUGAGUUGUGGGAAGGUGAGGCUCAGGGCCAAGUGGGCCUGUACAGCUGUGUGAAGUGAGAGAGGUAGGAAGUGAGUGCCAUGUCCCUCAGAAGCCCUCAGCAUAACCUGGCCCUUCUCCGUGCUAGAGGAGGGUCAGGGUGAGAACACAGAUACCAGGCAGCCAGGAAGACUGUGAGUGAGUGUGCCUGGCAGACAGGUGACAUUCCCUUCUCCCACCCUAGCCCUGCCUUGGGACCUGGCCACUAGGCACACAUCACCAGGUAGGUCAGAGACCAUGGCUUUUUAUUAGAGUAACUUCUGUGGCUGAACACAGAAUUUAUGGCUUAGCAGAGCCCACAUUUCCUUAGGUGCCUAUGGCCUGCCCCAUCUCCCAACUGACCAGCCCUCAGCCUUUCCCAAGCUCUCCUCGCCCACACUGCAGAGGUUGGCUUGGUGUCUCCUUAGCCUGUGCUGUGGAAGUCUGGAUUGUCCACAUCAUGCAUAGUCUGAAGAAAGAUGUGGCCCUUGCCUGGCUCCUGAGGAUGAAUUCUGAGCCCCUGGAAUGUUCGAGACCUUACUGAAUCUGUUGUAGGCCCUUGGGUUGGCAGGUGGACAGCAGCUUUCUUUGGACAUCUCCAAAGACCUGGUUAUCAAGCCUUUCUCUGCUGGUGUCCAGUUCACCAGGCCCACAGAGCCAAGAAGCAGGACCUAAGCAUUAAAAGAUCCAUGAAAGAUGAGUCCUCAUGGUCUAAUCAUCUUCCAUGAUGCCCCAUCUCCCAGCGCUAUUGCAUUAGGGCCUAAGUCUCCAGCCCAUGCUUUUGGGGAGGAUCAUUCAAAUCAUAGCAGGAAUUGAACUUGGGUCCUUGUGCUUGCGAGGCAGACAGCAGAACCACUGAGCUAAAUCCCCAGCCCUGACCACAGCUUUUAAUAAUCGUCAGAAGCUGGAACACACCUGGUGCUCUUCAACAGGUGAGGAGAUGAAGCACUAUGGCCCAUCCCUGAGACGGAAUAUCACCCAGUAGUGACAGGAUGGAGUGGCCAGUUUCUACCCACGGAAAGAUUGCAUAUGCCACUUUCUUUGUGGAGAAGCCGGAUUCAGCAGGGUGCUAACUGCACAUUUCCAUCCACAUGCACUCGGAGCAGGCAAAGCUGGGGAGAAGGAAGAGGUCAGAACUCACCCCAAAGAGGACAUGAGGGUGUUUUGGACGAUGGGACUGCUGCG